AGUCGUAACAAGGUUUCCGUAGGUGAACCUGCGGAAGGAUCAUUAUCGUACAAUGGAGGUGCUGGGGUUGUCGCUGACCUUUGAAAGGGUCGUGCACGCCUCGGUGCUUUCACACAUAAUCCAUCUCACCCCUUUUGUGCAUCACCGCGUGGGGGCCCCUUUUAGCUAGGUCUGAAGGGGGCUUUCACGUUUUUACAAACACACCCUUUUAAUGCAAUAUUGUGAAUGUUUUACUUUUUGCCAUGACCCGCAAUCAAAUACAACUUUCAACAACGGAACUUCUGGCUCCUGCAUCGAUGAAGAACGCAGCCAAAUGCGAUACGUAAUGUGAAUUGCAGAAUUCAGUGAAUCAUCGAAUCUUUGAACGCCCCUUGCGCCCUUUGGCCUUUCCAAGGGCACACCCGUUUGAAUGUUGUGACAUCCUCCAACCUUCUUGGUUUCUUGACCCAGAAGGCUUUGGACUUUGGAGGGUUUUGCUGGACCUUCCCUUGUUGAAGCCCGGUCCUCUUAAAUGAAUUAAUGGGGUUUGCUUUGCUGAUCCUUGGAGUGGUAAGAAGGUUUUACGUCUUGGGUUUUGCCCUGGUUGCUUUAGAUCCUGGUUCUUACCGUCUCAUAGAAGACAAAUGGUUCACCUUGACCCACAAACCUUGACCUCAAAUCGGGUGAGACUACCCGCUGAACUUAAGCAUAUCAAUAAGCGGAGGAAAAGAAACUAACAAGGAUUCCCCUAGUAACUGCGAGUGAAGCGGGAAAAGCUCAAAUUUAAAAUCUGGUGGUCUUUGGCCAUCCGAGUUGUAAUUUAGAGAAGCGUCUUCCGCGCUGGAC
rnacentral:rRNA from 1 species